GUCUGUUUGCUUAAAUAAACAGUCUAGCCUGCCCACUGAAGUAUUAAAGGGCCGCGGUAAUUUGACCGUGCGAAGGUAGCAUAAUCAGUAGUCUUUUAAUUGAAGGCUUGUAUGAAUGGUUGGAUGAGGGACAUUCUGUCUUUUUUUUGAAUUAGAAUUUAACUUUUAAGUGAAAAGGCUUAGAUAAAAUGAAGUGACGAUAAGACCCUAUAAAACUUUAUAUAGUGUUUAUUUAACUUUGAAUUAGUUUUAAUUGAGUUAAUUUUGCUUUAUAUUUCGUUGGGGAAACGUUGAUAUAAAUGUAAUUGUUUAUUAAAUUUAAUAGUUAUAAUUAGUUUUUGAUCCUUUAUUAUAGAUUAAGAGUUUAAGUUACUUUAGGGAUAACAGCGUAAUUUUCUCUGAGAGUCCUUAUCGACGAGAGUAGUUGCGACCUCGAUGUUGAAUUAAAAUUUCAGGUUGGUGUAGCCGCUUUCCUUGUAGGUCUGUUCGACCUUUAAAAUUUUACAUGAUUUGAGUUCAAACCGGUGUGAG
rnacentral:rRNA from 1 species